rnacentral:rRNA from 1 species
AGGACGAACGCUGGCGGCGUGCUUAACACAUGCAAGUCGAGCGGAAAGGCCCUUCGGGGUACUCGAGCGGCGAACGGGUGAGUAACACGUGAGUAAUCUGCCCCUAGCUCUGGGAUAGCUCCGGGAAAACCGGGAUUAAUACCGGAUACGACCACUUUAGACAUCUGUUGUGGUGGAAAGAAUUUUGGCUAGGGAUGAGCUCGCGGCCUAUCAGCUUGUUGGUGGGGUAACGGCCUACCAAGGCGACGACGGGUAGCCGGCCUGAGAGGGCGACCGGCCACACUGGGACUGAGACACGGCCCAGACUCCUACGGGAGGCAGCAGUGGGGAAUAUUGCGCAAUGGGCGAAAGCCUGACGCAGCGACGCCGCGUGGGGGAUGAAGGCCUUCGGGUUGUAAACCCUUCAGCAGGGACGAAGCGAAAGUGACGGUACCUGCAGAAGAAGCGCCGGCUAACUACGCGCCAGCAGCCGC